UAGGAUUUACAAUGACCAUCUAAUGAUCAAGUUUGUAAUUGAAAUUCAAAUCUCAUUUCUUUACAGAGCUUAUACUGGAGAUGCACAAGGACCUGAUCGAGUCCAACAGACUAUACCUUAUUAUGGUAUGCUCUGUCAUUGGCGUUGGUUGUGUAUUGCUUUCUCUGGCAAUAAUAUUCUUGGCACGGAAGAUCGCCAAGUUAAGCAGUGAGAAGCCUGACAUAGUCGCAGCUGAAGAAGGUAAAUAUCUGAGUAAAUGAAGAUUCUAGCUGGACUGGUUAUUGAGAAAGUCUUGUUUGUUGAGAAAGUCGUAGAGAAGGUACAGAGUUACUGACACAGAGGAAAAGGAAGGAAGGAAAAUGGAGACAAGAAGCGGAGAGAAGAAUAAAAAGAAGGGAAGAGGAGGGAGGCAUCACAAUAAAUGGUCUUCUAUGGAUUAGACAAG